rnacentral:rRNA from 1 species
GGUUGAUCCUGCCAGUAGUCAUAUGCUUGUCUCAAAGAUUAAGCCAUGCAUGUCUAAGUUCAUGCCUUUAUACGGUGAAACCGCGAAUGGCUCAUUAAAUCAGCUAUGGUUUAUUGGAUCAUACUCGUUAAAUGGAUAACUGUAAUAACUCUAGAGCUAAUACAUGCCACGAAGCCCUGACCCCGGGCUCCCUCGGGGAAUGGGUGCACUUAUUAGAACAGAAGCCAACCAGUCUCCGCGUGCAUUCCCUCCUUCGGGAGGUGUGUGCGCGGGCUGCAGCACUUCUGGUGA